rnacentral:rRNA from 1 species
UGAGGGAUUUUCGGCAAUGGGCGAAAGCCUGACCGAGCGACGCCGCGUGAGCGAAGAAGGCCUUCGGGUCGUAAAGCUCUGUCUAGGGGGACGAGCAAGGACGGUACCCCUGGAGGAAGCCACGGCUAACUACGUGCCAGCAGCCGCGGUAAUACGUAGGUGGCGAGCGUUGUCCGGAAUUACUGGGCGUAAAGGGCGCGCAGGCGGCGCGUUAAGUCCGGGGUGAAAUCCCACGGCUCAACUGUGGGGGGACCCUGGAUACUGGCGUGCUGGAGUGCGGGAGAGGGAAGCGGAAUUCCACGUGUAACGGUGAAAUGUAUAGAUAUGUGGAGGAACACCGGUGGCGAAGGCGGCUUCCUGGACCGUAACUGACGCUGAGGCGCGAAAGCUGGGGGAGCGA